rnacentral:rRNA from 1 species
AACGAACGCUGGCGGCAGGCCUAACACAUGCAAGUCGAGCGGACCCUUCGGGGUUAGCGGCGGACGGGUGAGUAACGCGUGGGAAUAUGCCCUUCUCUACGGAAUAGUCCUGGGAAACUGGGGGUAAUACCGUAUACGCCCUUUGGGGGAAAGAUUUAUCGGGGAAGGAUUAGCCCGCGUUGGAUUAGGUAGUUGGUGGGGUAAUGGCCUACCAAGCCGACGAUCCAUAGCUGGUUUGAGAGGAUGAUCAGCCACACUGGGACUGAGACACGGCCCAGACUCCUACGGGAUGGAGGAGUGGGGAAUCUUAGAAAAUGGGGGCAACGCUGAUCGAGCCAUGCCGCGUGAGUGAUGAAGGCCUUAGGGUUGUAAAGCUCUUUCAGCUGGGAAGAUAAUGACGGUACCAGCAGAAGAAGCCCCGGCUAACUCCGUG